GGUAGCCGUAGGGGAACCUGCGGCUGGAUCACCUCCUUU
rnacentral:rRNA from 1 species